rnacentral:rRNA from 1 species
UUAUGGCUCAGGAUGAACGCUAGCUACAGGCUUAACACAUGCAAGUCGAGGGGCAGCAUUGGGAUAGCUUGCUAUUCAGAUGGCGACCGGCGCACGGGUGAGUAACGCGUAUCCAACCUUCCUGCCAGUAGGGAACAGCCCGGCGAAAGUCGGAUUAAUGCCCUAUGUUCUUCAAUGCGGACAUCUAAGUUGAAGGAAAGAUUCAUCGCUGGCAGAUGGGGAUGCGUCCGAUUAGCUUGCCGGCGGGGUAACGGCCCACCGGGGCGACGAUCGGUAGGGGUUCUGAGAGGAAGGUCCCCCACACUGGUACUGAGACACGGACCAGACUCCUACGGGAGGCAGCAGUGAGGAAUAUUGGUCAAUGGGCGUAAGCCUGAACCAGCCAAGUAGCGUGCAAGGAUGACGGCCCUACGGGUUGUAAACUGCCUUUAUGCGGGGAUAAAGUGCGGCACGUGUGCCGCUUUGCAGGUACCGCAUGAAUAAGGACCGGCUAAUUCCGUGCCAGCCGCUGC